rnacentral:lncRNA from 1 species
UACCCCGCGGGGAGGCAGCUAAGGCCCGGCGAGAAGUCGAGCACAGCAGCUGCUGGACCGGGUGCUAAGCCCCUCACUGCCCCGGGCGCGGGGCCGGCUGGCCGCUCCGAGUGCUGGGCCUGGGAGGCCACGCCCACCCGGAACUUGCCCUAGUCCGCAAGCGCAGCGUGCAGCCUGGGUUCCCGCCCGCGCCUCUCCCGCCACACCUCCCUGCAAGCUGAGGGAGCCGGCUCCUGCCUUGGCCAGGCUAGAAAGGGGCUCCCACAGUGCAGGGGCGGGCUGAAGGGCUCCUCAAGUGCCACCAAAGUGGGAGCCCAGGCAGAGGAGGUGCCGAGAGCGAGCGAGGGCUGCGAGGACUGCCAGCAGCUGUCACCUCUCGUUACCAUCACUCCUAGUGACCAUUUCGGAUAAUCCACCUUGCCUCAUCAAACCAGAAAACAAUUCAAACCUGGCCUCCUUCUAACUGGAAGCCACAUUUUAAGAACUUAUUGUGAAGAACUGGAAAGCCUCCAAUAGGACCCAUUAUACAGGCUGCCUUUCCAGCUCUCCAAUCAUACUUCCAAGAAAACUGCUCACUCUCAGAACCAAGGUUCAAGUUGUACAUUGGGAUUUGGGUAGAGGUAAGAGGAAACACCCUCAAAUAGAUUUGGAUCAUUCCAGAUGUCCUAUAAAUGAAGUUUGACAUUUGCUCAAGUAUCACCACCUCACUGUAAAAGCAACGAAUCUACCUUCAUUGUGAAAAUUUGGGGACUAGAAUUAAUGAGUACAGUAACCUUAUGGAUAGAACCUUCAGAGUUUUUCAUUAUCUAUGUGAAGAGAUAAUUCUAAAUUAUUUGAGAUCUAGUAUCUGUCAGCUUGGGGACUGGUGUCUAGUCCCAAGACUAGACAAAGGAAACCCUUAUUAGUAUUUUUAUUUUCCAUUUCAAAUAAAAA